UGCAGUCUUGAUGGAGUGAGACUGGG
rnacentral:piRNA from 1 species